GUUUUUCUCCUGGUAUCCACUGUAGGCCUCUAUGUUUUUUGACCAUAAGGCACGCGGUGAAUGCCAAGAGCGAACGA
rnacentral:pre_miRNA from 1 species